rnacentral:rRNA from 1 species
UACGUAGGGUGCGAGCGUUUGUCCGGAAUUAUUGGGCGUAAAGAGCUUGUAGGCGGUUUGUCGCGUCUGCCGUGAAAAUCCGGGGCUCAACCCCGGACUUGCGGUGGGUACGGGCAGACUAGAGUGUGGUAGGGGAGACUGGAAUUCCUGGUGUAGCGGUGAAAUGCGCAGAUAUCAGGAGGAACACCGAUGGCGAAGGCAGGUCUCUGGGCCGAUACUGACGCUGAGGAGCGAAAGCGUGGGGAGCGAACAGG